AGAGUUUGAUCAUGGCUCAGAUUGAACGCUGGCGGCAUGCCUUACACAUGCAAGUCGAGCGGCAGCGCGGGGGCAACCCUGGCGGCGAGCGGCGAACGGGUGAGUAAUACAUCGGAACGUGUCCAGUAGUGGGGGAUAACCAGUCGAAAGACUGGCUAAUACCGCAUACGAUCUACGGAUGAAAGCGGGGGACCGCAAGGCCUCGCGCUGUUGGAGCGGCCGAUGUCCGAUUAGCUAGUUGGCGGGGUAAUGGCCCACCAAGGCGACGAUCGGUAGCUGGUCUGAGAGGAUGAUCAGCCACACUGGAACUGAGACACGGUCCAGACUCCUACGGGAGGCAGCAGUGGGGAAUUUUGGACAAUGGGCGCAAGCCUGAUCCAGCCAUGCCGCGUGAGUGAAGAAGGCCUUCGGGUUGUAAAGCUCUUUCGGCGGGGACGAAACGGUUCGUGACAACACCACGGACUAAUGACGGUACUCGCAGAAGAAGCACCGGCUAACUACGUGCCAGCAGCCGCGGUAAUACGUAGGGUGCAGGCGUUAAUCGGAAUUACUGGGCGUAAAGCGUGCGCAGGCGGCUCCUUAAGUCAGAUGUGAAAGCCCCGGGCUUAACCUGGGAACUGCGUUUGAAACUGGGGAGCUAGAGUGUAGAAGAGGGGGGUGGAAUUCCAGGUAGCAGUGAAAUGCGUAGAGAUCUGGAGGAACACCGAUGGCGAAGGCAGCCCCCUGGGCUAACACUGACGCUCAUGCACGAAAGCGUGGGGAGCAAACAGGAUUAGAUACCCUAGUAGUCC
rnacentral:rRNA from 1 species